CCGUAGCCGGUCUGAUACAUUCUUGGGUAAAUCAACCAGCUCAACUGGUUGUAUUCUGCGAGGACGGGCAAACUUGGGACCGGGAGAGGUGUGGGGUACGCUCAGGGUAGGGGUAAAAUCCUGUCAUCCUGAGCGGACCACCUGUUGCGAAGGCGCCACACUAGAACGGAUCCGACGGUCAGGGACGAAGCCUAGGGGCACGAACCGGAUUAGAUACCCGGGUAGUCCUAGGUGUAAACGCUGUGGACUUGAUGUUGGGGGUGCUCCGAGCACUCUCAGUGUCGAAGCGAAGGUGAUAAGUCCACUGCCUGGGAAGUACGGUCGCAAGGCUGAAACUUAAAGGAAUUGGCGGGGG
rnacentral:rRNA from 1 species